rnacentral:rRNA from 1 species
AUUGAACGCUGGCGGCAUGCUUUACACAUGCAAGUCGAACGGCAGCGCGGGCUUCGGCCUGGCGGCGAGUGGCGAACGGGUGAGUAAUACAUCGGAACGUGCCCAGUAGUGGGGGAUAGCUCGGCGAAAGCCGGAUUAAUACCGCAUACGACCUGAGGGUGAAAGCGGGGGAUCUUCGGACCUCGCGCUAUUGGAGCGGCCGAUGGCAGAUUAGCUAGUUGGUGGGGUAAAGGCCUACCGAGGCGACGAUCUGUAGCUGGUCUGAGAGGACGACCAGCCACACUGGGACUGAGACACGGCCCAGACUCCUACGGGAGGCAGCAGUGGGGAAUUUUGGACAAUGGGCGAAAGCCUGAUCCAGCAAUGCCGCGUGUGUGAUGAAGGCCUUCGGGUUGUAAAGCACUUUUGGCGGGAACGAAAAGGACUGUGCCAAUACCACGGUUCGAUGACGGUACCCGCAGGAUAAGCACCGGCUAACUACGUG